rnacentral:rRNA from 1 species
CAGUAGCGUAUAUUAAAGUUGUUGCAGUUAAAAAGCUCGUAGUUGUAAUUUGGAAUCCCAACUCACGUGGAAAAACAUGUAUUCAGUUACAUCGUUUGGUAGCGUGUACUUUACUGUGAACAAAUUAGGGUGUUUAAAGCAAGCAAAUGCAUGUAUACAUUAGCAUGGAAUAAUAAGAUACAACUCUGUUAGCUUUUGGUGACUUACAGAGAGAUGAUUAAAAGAAACAGCUGUGGGUAUUCGUAUGUGUAUGUCAGAGGUGAAAUUCUUGGACCUUAACCAGACGAACAAGUGCGAAAGCAUUUACCAAGGAUGUUUUCAUUAA